UAUGCAUUGGAGUGUUGACGUGGGAUCUGAUCGGAAGGUACGUAAAUAGCUAUAGAAAAUGUUGUAUGCAUUGUGAUUGUUGACAUGGGACCUGUUUGGAAGGUACGUAUAUAGCUAUAGAAAAUGUUGUAUGCAUUGUGAGUGUUGGCGUGUGACCUGAUUGUAAGGUACGUGAAUAACUAUAGAAAAUGUUGUAUGCAUUGUGAGUGUUGACAUGGGACCUGUUCGGAAGGUACGUAUAUAGUUAUAGAAGAUGUUGUAUGCACUGUGAGUGUUGACAUGGGACCUGAUUGGAAGGUACGUAAAUAGCUAUAGAAAAAUGUUGUAUACACUGUGAGUGUUGACAUGGGACCUGAUCGGAAGGUUCGUAAAUAGCUUUAGAAAAUGUUGUAUGCACUGUAAGUGCUGACAUGGGACCUGAUUGGAAGGUACGUAAAUAGCUAUAGAAAAAUGUUGUAUACACUGUGAGUGUUGACAUGGGACCUGCUCGGAAAGUACGUAAAUAGCUAUUGAAAAUGUUGUAUACACUGUGAGUGUUGACAUGGGACCUGAUCGGAAAGUACGUAAAUAGCUUUAGAAAAUGUUGUUUACACUGUGAGUGUUGACAUGGGACCUGAUCGGAAGGUACGUAAAUAGCUUUAAAAAAUGUUGUAUGCAUUGUGAGUGUUGACGUGGGACCUGAUCGGAAGGUACGUAGAUAGUUAUAGAAAAUGCUGUAUGCAUUGUGAGUGUUGACAUGGGACCUGAUCGGAAGGUACGUAGUUAGUUAUAGAAAAUGCUGUAUACACUGUGAGUGUUGACAUGGGACCUGAUCGGAAGGUACGUAAAUAGCUUUAGAAAAUGUUGUAUGCAUUGUGAGUGUUGACGUGGGACCUGAUCGGAAGGUACGUUAAUAGCCAUAGAAAAUGCUGUAUGUAAUGUGAGUGUUGACAUGGUACCUGAUCGGAAGGUACGUAGAUAGUUAUAGAAAAUGUUGUAUGCAUUGUGAGUGUUGACAUGGGACCUGAUCGGAAGGUACGUAAAUAGCUAUACAAAAUGUUGUAUACACUGUGAGUGUUGACAUGGGACCUGAUUGAAAGGUACGUAAAUAGCUAUAGAAAAUGUUGUCUGCACUGUGAGUGUUGACAUGGGACCUGAUCGGAAAGUACGUAAAUAUCUAUAGAAAAUGGUUUAUGCACUGUGGGUGUUGUUAUGGGACUUGAUCGGAAAUAAUACGUCUGAUUAAAGAUGCAGACCUUAUCACUAUUGCUUUUUUAAAUCUGAAAAGCGUUACAAUAAACCGUCGUAUGUCAGUCACGAUUCUUAAAGCAUGUUGCAUCGAAGUUUAGACCCGCAAAAUGUUAAGUUCCGAUAAUCGUUACUGGCUUACCUGUCGUAGGUUCCUAACGAGAGCUGAUUGAAAUGGUCUACUUUCGUAGGUUCCUUACGAGAGCUGAUUGAAAUGGUCUACUGUCGUAGGUUCCUUACGAGAGCUGAUUGAAAUGGUGUACUGCCGUAGGUUCCUUACGAGAGCUGAUUGAAAUGGUCUACUGUCGUAGGUUCCUUACGAGAGCUGAUUGAAAUGGUCUACUGUCGUAGGUUCCUUACGAGAGCUGAUUGAAAUGGUCUACUGUCGUAGGUUCCUUACGAGAGCUGAUUGAAAUGGUCUACUGUCAUAGGUUCCUAACGAGAGCUGAUUGAAAUGGUCUACUGUCGUAGGUUCCUUACGAGAGCUGAUUGAAAUGGUCUACUGCCGUAGGUUCCUUACGAGAGCUGAUUGAAAUGGUCUACUGCCGUAGGUUCCUUACGAGAGCUGAUUGAAAUGGUCUACUGUCGUACUUGUGUAUUCCCAAUGUGUGUAGCUCACAUGGUCUACUGUAUUAUGUCGAAUGUUUGUAGCUCACAUGGUCUACUGUCGUAUUUCCAAUGUUUGUAGCUCACAUGGUCUACUGUCUUAUGUCGAAUGUUUGUAGCUCACGUGGUCUACUGUCGUAUUUCCAAUGUUUGUAGCUCACAAGGUCUACUGUCUUAUGUCGAAUGUUUGUAGCUCACAAGGUCUACUGUCGUAUUUCCAAUGUUUGUAGCUCACAUGGUCUUCUGUCUUAAGUCGAAUGUUUGUAGCUCACAUGGUCUACUGUUUUAUGUCGAAUGUUUGUAGCUCACAAGGUCUACUGUCGUAUUUCCAAUGUUUGUAGCUCACAUGGUCUUCUGUCUUAAGUCGAAUGUUUGUAGCUCACAUGGUCUACUGUUUUAUGUCGAAUGUUUGUAGCUCACAUGGUCAACUGUCUUAUGUCGAAUGUAUGUAGCUCACAUGGUCUACUGUCGUAUUUCCAAUGUUUGUAGCUCACAUGGUCUACUGUCUUAUGUCGAAUGUUUGUAGCUCACAUGGUCUACUGUUUUAUGUCGAAUGUGUGUAGCUCACAUUGUCUACUGUCGUAUUUCCAAUGUUUGUAGCUUACAUUUUC